CCUACGGGUGGCAGCAGUGAGGAAUAUUGGUCAAUGGACGAGAGUCUGAACCAGCCAAGUAGCGUGAAGGAUGACUGCCCUAUGGGUUGUAAACUUCUUUUAUAUGGGAAUAAAACAGGGUAUGCAUACCCUCUUGUAUGUACCAUAUGAAUAAGGAUCGGCUAACUCCGUGCCAGCAGCCGCGGUAAUACGGAGGAUCCGAGCGUUAUCCGGAUUUAUUGGGUUUAAAGGGAGCGUAGGUGGAUUGUUAAGUCAGUUGUGAAAGUUUGCGGCUCAACCGUAAAAUUGCAGUUGAAACUGGCAGUCUUGAGUACAGUAGAGGUGGGCGGAAUUCGUGGUGUAGCGGUGAAAUGCUUAGAUAUCACGAAGAACUCCGAUUGCGAAGGCGGCUUACUGGACUGUAAAUGACGCUGAGGCUCGAAAGCGUGGGGAGCAAACAGGAUUAGAUACCCUUGUAGUC
rnacentral:rRNA from 1 species